rnacentral:rRNA from 1 species
CCUACGGGAGGCUGCAGUGAGGAAUAUUGGUCAAUGGGCGUAAGCCUGAACCAGCCAAGUCGCGUGAGGGAUGAAGGUUCUAUGGAUCGUAAACCUCUUUUAUAAGGGAAUAAAGUGUGGGACGUGUCCUAUUUUGUAUGUACCUUAUGAAUAAGGAUCGGCUAACUUCGUGCCAGCAGCCGCGCGAAUACGGAGGAUCCGAGCGUUAUCCGGAUUUAUUGGGUUUAAAGGGUGCGUAGGCGGCCUUUUAAGUCAGCGGUGAAAGUCUGUGGCUCAACCAGAGAAUUGCCGUUGAAACUGGGGGGCUUGAGUAUGUUUGAGGCAGGCGGAAUGCGAGGUGUAGCGGUGAAAUGCUUAGAUAUCUGGCAGAACCCCGAUGGCGAAGGCAGCCUGCCAAGCCAUGACUGACGCUGAUGCACGAAAGCGUGGGGAUCAAACAGGAUUAGAUACCCUUGUAGUC